rnacentral:lncRNA from 10 species
UGGAUUCUCAUGGUCAUUUGAAACCCAUGGGGGAAAAUGCAGGCUGUGACCAAAGGUUUCAAUGGUAAAGAUGACUCAUACCAUGGCUUCUCUAUCCAUUGUCUUGCUCUCAUAAAACUGCUGAAUGACACCCAAGUGUAAAACCCACCAAAGAAAUAAGCGCUGGAUGACAUGUGGCAGAUUUUCCAACUCUCCAGGAAAAACUUCAGAUCAACUUGUUUCUCUGGAAACUACUCACAUCCGGGGGCUGUCCCUGUCCCCUGGGACUCAUAAACGUUCCUAUCUUCAAGGCACAGAGGUAGGUCGUUUCUCCCACUUGUCUGAGUCCGAGCCCUCAGUGUUCGUAUUUUCACACAUGAACUUCUUCUUAAACACUUUUACCACUUGGUACCUGUCUACCCAACCUGAACAGAUGACCAUCAAUGCUUAUUGGUGAGUGUAAUGGCUUAUUAGAUACGGCAAUAUAUACUUUUAUGUCUAGUAGACUAUUUAGAUAGUUAAAAGCACACUUCUCCUCCUGAUAAAAUUUCAGGCACUGGCCUAAAACAUGAAAGGUAUUCAGUAAAUGGAUACUUACUAUGACAGGAUCUAACAGAUUUUACCAAUAAAAUUAAGGCACUUAAAUGCAUGAACAUGAUCUAAAUGCCAUAUCAUUAUAAAUUACUUCCUGUGUUCUCAAGCCUAAAGAUUAUUCAAGAUCCUGCUAAGAAAUUAAAGCCACAUGACAUUCUGAAAUAAAAGUGUGCAGAUGCUUGAGGUUUCAGGUUUGCAAGUCAGCUGGGGCAGCUUGGAUCAAUCUGGCUCAUUUGGAGCCCUGGUUACCCAGCAUAUGCUCUUCUCAUGGCAAUGUCAGGAACAGGAGAAUAUACCUGGCAGGCAUCUGGCUAUGGUAAAUAUAUAGCUGUAUAGUACUACUACAAAAGAAGGAAGACAAG